AGUUUGAUCCUGGCUCAGAACGAACGCUGGCGGCAGGCUUAACACAUGCAAGUCGAACGCCCCGCAAGAUGAGUGGCAGACGGGUGAGUAACGCGUGGGAACAUACCCUUUUCUACGGAAUAGCUCUGGGAAACUGGAAUUAAUACCGUAUACGCCCUACGGGGGAAAGAUUUAUCGGGGAAGGAUUGGCCCGCGUUGGAUUAGCUAGUUGGUGGGGUAAAGGCCUACCAAGGCGACGAUCCAUAGCUGGUCUGAGAGGAUGAUCAGCCACAUUGGGACUGAGACACGGCCCAAACUCCUACGGGAGGCAGCAGUGGGGAAUAUUGGACAAUGGGCGCAAGCCUGAUCCAGCCAUGCCGCGUGAGUGAUGAAGGCCUUAGGGUUGUAAAGCUCUUUCACCGAUGAAGAUAAUGACGGUAGUCGGAGAAGAAGCCCCGGCUAACUUCGUGCCAGCAGCCGCGGUAA
rnacentral:rRNA from 1 species